CCUGAAUGAUACCGAGAAAUCCACAGCUCUAAACGCCUUGUCAGCACGGAGGACCCCGCCCCACCGGAGACGGGAGGUAUGUGCCCUGGUCUGGCGCAGCCCGGAUCUAUGCAGUCCAAAGCCCCUAAAGCCUGGUGUGCGCGACGUCAGAGGGGACGCGACACAACCUCUCGAGUGGUCCUCGGUGACGUAAGACGAGCGCGACAGACUGGACUUCUUUGUUUCUCGCUCACCCAAGACCUUGCUAAGUAAAAGGCUGAGGAGGCCUCACAGCCGGAGGUCUGCAUUAUUUGGGGGUCAGAAGGAGCAUCCAAGGAUUCUCUCAAGCAGCCAGACACCAACCGAAGCCAACGGGGGCCCAGGAUCCCCAGAGCCUAGUACAGUUCCUGGCACAAACUAGGAAGAGGAAACAGACUCUUCAAGUUAGACUCUGUCAAUCUGAAUGAUCUCUGUGUUGCCUUGAAAGUCUGGAACAGACUGAGAAGUGGAGAUGCUGCGGAAGGAGAGUGGAAAGUACCCCUCCUCAUUUUCCCAGCAGCUUCCCCGGCUCCUGAGCUGAUGAGCAAGAUGCACAGAUUUUUUUUUCUGCUGACCACAGAAGUAGGGACUAUAAAAUUCAGCUUCCCAUCUGGUUCUUCAUGGUCCAAGAAAAUACAGCAAUUUCAAACUCCAGGGAGACAAGCACUCAAAUCAGGAAAGCUUAAACCUAGCCUGUCGCAGAAUCCCUCAAGAGCGGCAUGGAUUUGACUCAGGAAGGAAAAAACGAAGGAAGCACUGUUUCUAAGGAUCAAUUCCCCAUGACCCUCAAAGGGUACGCGUGUGCUGUCUCCCAUACCAGUUACCCCCCGGCCUUCAGAGCCAACCUGCAUGGCUCAACAGCUGGUCCUCGCUUCUUUCUUUCUUUCUACUUGCGCCAACAGGCUCCUGGUCACAGGGCCAUCACCAGUCUGCUUCGAAGGCUGGGCUGAGAGUGGAAACUGGCCCUUCCAAUGGGAGCGCUUUAACAUCUGUCCUCAUCCACUGUCCAAAACCUGGGUGUACUUCAAUACAGUGAUGAUGUAUUUGCUUUUUAAUGUUUUCUGUUAGAACCAGAGUUAACUGAGAAUUGCUGGUGAGAGAUGAAGAGAGAACCAGUUCUCCUUCUGUAUCUAAGAACAGCAUGGGAAGCACUUGGAGGGCUCAGGAGCCUACCUGUUAGCUUUGUCUGGCCAUGGGCAUACCUCUGUCUCAGGCCAGAAAAAAAAAAUAGGGCAAAGGUUCUGAAGAGCCACCCAUAGGCUGGUGCCCACCCAGAGAAGGGAAUGUUCAAAACUGUGCUGAAAUGCCAGCUCUGGAGAGAUGUGAAGGCCAGCUUGAAGGCUUCUGGCAGUUUGGAUAAACAUCUAGACUCUGAGUACAUUUCUGAGCCUGCUCUGUGAUCCCUUUGAAGUUUAUCCAACUUGAAUAAACCCUCCAGAAAGCCAGGGCCAGUAAAAUAGGCUUUCUUUGGAAGUCCCCCUGGACGUGCCCUGUCGCUUCUUCCCAGGGCAGCCGGCCCAUCAGGACCAGCCAUCUGAGGAGCGGAAGAAGAAAGACGCCCGAGACAGAGCGCUCCUGUAAUACUCAGUUCAUUGUCUUCUUUUCUUCCUGCCCUUUUUACGUAUGGAGGGAGGGCACAGCAGAAAGAAAACCCCUGGUGGACUUGGUGGACCACAAGCUUAGAUCUAAUCAUGGCUUGCCUGGGACCCCUUCUCAAUGAUCUAACCCCAGCUAUUUCUGAAGGGCCAGCCUGAGAUGUACAUCACGCAUGUUUGAAUCACAAAAGGCACUCUUUGCAGUCUAAAAAGUGCCUGGAGCUGGGAAGCUGGUGACAGAGCCAGCAUGGGCACAGGCAGGAAGUUCCAUCUCAUUUCCCAGAGAAGCACCCCCUGGCUGCCUGGGCAGGGGCUGAGGCCAUCUUUCCUCCAGUCUGUGCAGGUUUUCUAGUCAUGAAAUUACUGGAGCAUUGAGAAGUGUCUGCAUGCAUGGAGGGGUGUCCAGGUGGAUAAGCACACCUCAGCACUGGGGGACAGCUCCCCAGGUACAAGCUGGCUCAGCUUUAGGUUACACAAAGGAGAAUGGGGUGCCAAAUACCAGGUUCAUUCAGAAAGAAAAUAGGGAGCAGCCUUUCUGAGCAGGUCUCGGGGGGAUCUCCAAACCUGCUGUUGGUUCACUCCAGAGACUGAGCAGUACCUCUUCCCUAACAAGGAAAGUGUACCCUGGCAGUGCCUGGAGAGGGAGCAGGGUAAGUGGACAGCCUGUGCAUAGCACAACACAAACCUACAGGCUGGGUACAGACCACGAGAGACACACCCUUUCAUAACCCUGGGACCAAAUGACAGAGAAGAUGUGGCUGCAGCACCAGGGGAACCCCAUGGAAGUGGGGUCACAAAUAGUUUUGUUUCUUUAUUGUUAAAAAAAAAAAUAUUAACAGCAACAACAACAAACAGAAGAACAGCAUGAACAUUCACAACCAGUCAGAGCCCCUGUAAGCUUUGCCCACUCAUUCUUAAUGGAGUCCUUCAUCUCCACGCAGGUAGCCAUUUCAGCCAAAAGGCCCCUUCAUAUUUUUCAUGGGUGGGUACUGUUGCUCCAUUGGCAUGGCCCCAAAGCAGUCCGAGGGGUUGCAGUGGCCAGCCUUCCCUGGCUGCCCCAUAGGACCUGGGGGGCCAGGGAUGCCUGGAAUGCCUUGUUGACCCAUGGGGCCUGUUGCGCCUAUUUUGCCAUAACCUGGAGGUCCUUGGGGACCUACAGAGGGAAGAGCCACAGAAGGGAAAUCAGGAGACCCGGAUGACAAGAGACAACAGCUGUGACAAGCAACACGCCUUCAUUUCAGAUUUGCCAGGUUGAAGCACACUUUUGGGAGACCUGCCUGCUCCUCACAUUGAUUUUACAAGGAGAGCCACACCUCUGGCUAGUUUUAUUGGGAGUGUCUGUCUACCAUGAGCUUUUAAUAUGUACAUCAUUGCACCCACAAAACAGUUUCCUGGGGAAAUGGUACAGGCUCAGAGAAGUCCCACGUGGGUAAUACCCAUGGAGUAAGUAGUGGAGCUGGGCCACCGAGCUCGCUCAUCAGGUUUUAACCACUCUUAAACUUUCUAAUCAUUCAUCUUGGAGAAUGAGUCCAAGUGAUUAAGCCACCUCAUCAACACCACAGGGCCAGUAAAAUGCCAAACAGGUCUUCGAUUGGGAUUUCUGGUCCCUACUGCAUGCAAUCCCCCAACACACACUCCGUAUCAUGCAAGCCUAGCUUAGGACAGGCAGACACUCUGCCUCUCCCCACUCCUCCCCUUCAGUUCCUAGCACAGUAUCUUGAACUAGGAGCAUUUCUGCAAGUGAUAAUUAGCCUGGCAUUAUUUGAUGUUCUAAUGAUUAUGUUGUAAAGAAGUUGUGGGGGAAGGCGGGGGGGACUCUGCUGUUCUGGAUUCAUGGUCUCAAAGGCUGGGUUCUCCUACCUGGGGGGCCAGGAAGACCAUUUUCCCCUGCAAUGCCAACACCAAUGUCUCCCUUUUCACCUUUGGUGCCAGGUAACCCUGAGACAAGAGAAACGAAGUUAAGUCCUAUCCCUAAACAGAAAGAUGACAGCUAUGUGAAUUGCUAUACAUACACACACACACACACACACACACACACACACACACACACACACACCAUAUUCACAACAGCCCACACAGAGCUGCAGUGCCCGACACCCCAGAGACCCGAAGGUAGAGCUACCUCUCAUUCCUGGCAAACCCUGGCGUCCUUCCCGGCCUAUCUGACCAGGGAGCCCAGGUGACCCUGGAGCACCUGGCCGGCCUGGUGCACCAUCUUUCCCAGGAGGCCCUGGCCGGCCUGGGGCUGCCGCCACCUCCAUGGGGAACUGCAUCCUGGAGGUGUAGUAAGCCAUCCUCUCUGCAAGCAAAGACCAGGCACUCAGAGUGGCUACCGAUACUGCAGACAUGCCGCCACGGGGAGAUGGGCUGCUCUCCUGAGGGAGGUCUUGUGCUGUGGUCCCUAUGUGCCUUCCCACAGAGCUUUCAGAAGCACAGAUCUGAUUUGGGCCUCUAACCCCCACCCCUGGUUCAGCACCAGCUUCAGAAUGUGGUCCAGACAGGUCUCUUUCCUAAGCAGAAUGCCCAGCAUCCACGUUCCCCCAAGUCCACAGCACACGGGCAGGAAAAGGGGCUUCAAAACAACCCCAGCAGCCUCUUCUGUCUGCUCACCCUUCUCCUCAGAGCUCCCUCCACACAGACUUGUUUGAAAUUGGCUUUCUUAACCUCCUUUGCUCCCAUGGGGGGAUCAGGAGGGCAGAAGAGAACCGAUUUAUCCCUGAACAGAGCAGGUGACAAGGAAGGUCUGAUGGAUAGGGAACAUAUGCCUGUCACCUGCUGUCUGUAAAUGUGUGGGGGCGGGAAGGGGAGGACGCUGAGGCUUUAAGCAAAAGGGCCGGCUGAAGAAAUGGCUGGGAAGGGCAAACAUUACCCACUACCACCCAGCCGGCUGCCAAUUACCAUCAAACAUUUUAAUGAUCUCUUGUCUGAUGAACCUCUUGAUGUCAUCAUAAUUCACCAUGUCUCCCUGAGGAAAGGGAAGAAACCUGGCCUCAGUUCUAAGUCCAAGCUUGGCACUUUCCCAGUGAACAGAUUUGAUUUCCAGAAAUAAAGGAUAGAGCGGAGGGCAAAGGUCCUGGGAGCUUCCCACAGAGGCUUAAUCCAAAGAGCUGCCCACCAUGAAAUAGUACAAUACAUUUCAUACUGAAAUGCAGUUUGGGGCGGGAGGGAUACCUGUAGCUCCCCGCUUCCCCGUGAAGAACUAGGAGCUACCCUGUAGUCAAGCUCUUUCCCACAGAAUGUCAGCAGGAGGGUCUAAAGUGAACAUGUACCUGCACUAUGGGAUAGUGCCCAUGGUUGCUGGCCUCCCCUUACCAUAGAGCCUGGCAAACCAGGCAAUCCAGGGUUGCCUGCAGGCCCUGGAGAUCCAGGGUGCCCCCUUUCUCCUGCAGGACCUGGUGGCCCAACAGGUCCCAUGGAGCCGCUCUUGCCAGGCCCCCCUGGCAUGCCAGAUCUUCCCUUCUCCCCUGCUUGUCCUUUCUGUCCUGCAGGUCCUGGGUCACCCUACAAGGACAGCAAGUCACAGUGCAGCAUUACCAACUGUUUCCAAGUCUGUGUCACGAUGUGUCAGCAACCUACCCCUUCCCCAGGUGCCCAGCAUCUCCGGCUGGGCUGUGGACAUGAUGAUAGUGGUCCCACUGCCUCAGCACCUCCCAGAGCAGAGCUUCUGGGAGACAAUGCUUGUGUCACUCUCUGCUGGGAAAUGCUCAUGGCUCCCACGUACUCUGCAUAGGGAGAUCCCCUUCCUUGCCCAGGCAAGACCAUAACAUCCUCCUCACACCUUUCCCAGCCUUGUCUCCUUGCCAGCUCCAGCUGUCUGCCACUCUCUGGUUCUACCAUGUUGCUUGAGUCUGCUGUCUGGAAUGCCUCCUCCCCGGCCUCAGCACCCCAAUGAUUACCUCUCCCCUCUCCUCUGCUGGAAUGUUCCUGGCCUUCAUGCAGCCUUUCUCCCUCACUUUCAGUUAGAGCUAGAAGUGCUUCCUGGAGUCCCACAGCACUGUAUCCAGUCUUCUUCACAACUUACCAGAGUCCAGUGUCAGUGAGACUGGAACAGGGUGUGUCCAUUCAGGCACUCCUGUUACCCCCAGACCAACCCAGAGGCCCUGGAGUGAGCCAGGGCGGGCAAUAAUUAGGGGAUUAAAAAGAUUUCCAUUCUCAAGCCAUAGAUGGGACAGUCCCAGGUGAGGUCACAUCUCCCUUUCCUGCCUAUUGGCCACCCUGGCCUCCUCUGGGGCUAGAGUUGCAGCUUGGAGCUCCCGAGUACCAUGUUUUUUAAACCCAGCCGGUGGCUGCUCACCUUUGGGCCUGGAGGUCCAUAGAGCCCCUGCUUUCCAGGAGGUCCCUGUAAGAAAGCAGAAGUCAGGGUCAAGUCUGGGCAGCAUCACUGAGGCUCCCUGAGGUGGGGUGGGGAAGGGGCAGUGGGAAGACCUCCCUUUUCCUCCCUAGGACUCUGGUUGUGCCCAGCUGGGCUGUGUGAGAGAAGGGACGACAGCUUCCCUGACAACCAGAGGAGCUGCCGACUGGGAGGAAAGAUGAUGUCCCCUGGGGCAUGGCCUUGUCUGAUAGCAUUGGCCUGGUCCCUCGUCACAGAUGAACUGAUAUGACAAGAAGUCACAGUCUGAAAUAGCAGAGGGCUUGGCAGGACCUGGGGCCCAGGGAGCCUUCGUUUGCCGUUUGUUACCCUUACUAUCUCUUUCUGAUCAGAAACAGGAUCCUCUAAUUCCACUUGAACAACAAGAGUUACCAGCUUCUUGCAUGUAAUUGGCGGUGGGUAUCUGCAGGGGGCUGGCUCCAGGAUCCUCAUGGAUCCCCAAGUCUGUCUCAAGUCCCAUUUGUAAAAUGGUACGAGAGUUGGCUCUAACCUAUGUGUGUUCUAUAUAACCUGCGUGCUCCACAUCACCUUUGAAUUACUUAACAACAGUGACCACAGUGUAAAUGAUGCAGAGUUGUCAUACUGUUUGUUUAGGGAAUCACGAUAAUGGAAAAAGUGAGGUAGGAGUGCUGGUGCACACCUAUGCACUAGGGAGGCUGAGCCAGGGGGAUCAUAAAUGUGAGCCAUAAAGUUCCAGGCCUGCCUGGGUACAUA